UAAAGCUUUCUCAUAGUGAAUACAAGGCAUUCUCUCAAACUCUCUUGUGUUCUUCUUACUUGUCUUUCUUCUAAGUUUGUGAGUUAGGCUGACUUAGCAUCAUCAAGUGCAGCUUGAGAUUGUCUAAGUUCCACACGGAUAGCUUGGAAAUAAUCAAGGCCAUGACAUGUGGUAUCAGAUCAGGUUUGAGACAAGAGAAGAAAAUGUAACAAUGUCAUCCGGUGUAUAGGAGACUGUGACGCAGCGAGCAAGUGGAAGGGAACCCACGAAGGGAAGGAAAGAUAAGUCACGAGAUGCUGUUACCACCAUGGAAACACCACUUGCCAAGGUAGAGCUUGCUGUGGGUGACUCGAGGGAGCGUCUUGAUGUGUUGGAGCAAAGCCUUGAACAUGAGGUGGAGGGCCUCAAGGGGGAGAUCAAGGAACUCCAUGAUGGCAUGCUUUCCAUCAUCAAUUAUGUGGCACAUGAUGCUCAAGUGGCCAAUGAUUCUUUCCAACACAAGGUGUUGGAGAUGCUCGCACAAUUUGAAGCCUGCUUGGAGGAAGUACACCAAGAUGUGGCAAUGUGCAAAAAGGCCAUGGCUGGGAGAGCCAUGACCUUGCCGGGGACAUCUAAGGUGGAUGUGCCAAAGAAAAAGCCUUUUGAUGGAAAGAGGGAUGCCAAAGAAAAGGACAACUACUUAUGGCACAUGGAAAGAUAAAUCGAGGUGAUGGCAAUAACCGAGAAAGAUGCCAAGCAAAAUAGGGCACAAAAGCACUCAUCAGUGGUCCCCCCGGUCAACCGGCUGGUCGACUACCAAAAAUGUAUUCCCAUGGUAUGAGUUAUCUUGGGUUUUGUGUCCUACACACCCCCAAGACAGAACAAUCCAACAUAUUUGGGACUAAUAGUCCGGUGCAAAAUUUCUGAACCAAACAAUGGACUAUUCUAUCCAUCAGACAUGGAAUCUUAUCCCAUGGCUCAAUCCCUCCAAACAAACGUGCUCUAAAGCUCUCAUUGUGUUGCUGAGUAAUCUCUUUUUCAUGGACAAUGAAGGUAUUUGGUUGUAUUACAUGGAUUUUUUUAUUUCUUCCAAAAUAUUUGUGUCUGUUGAAUAUGACAUGGGUAAGGGUGUGAGAUAUAUAUCCGGCACUCAUACUCAAUUUAGACACUUGAAUUCUUUAAUUUGUUACAAUAUAUGAGAAGAAGAAACUCACAUUUGCUAAUAAAGCAAUAUUUUUAGCUUCUCACAUUAAUUAGACAUAGAAAUUUUAUUUUUUUCUCUUGAACCUAUUCAAUGUCAAGAAUAUUUUUAUAUAAUUUACAACAUUUCAUCCAAAAAAUAUUAUAUAAUAUGCAAUAUAUAUAUAUAUAUAUGUACACGUUUUUGAAUAUGCAUCUCAAGACCAUAAGAUUUAAAUUUAUAAGAAUUUGACACUUAGAUACAUACCCACACAUACCUGUACCCGAGACCAUGUAAACA